CCGCUGUGCGACUCUUAACUUAUGGGCC
rnacentral:piRNA from 1 species